UACGAAGGGGGCUAGCGUUGUUCGGAAUUACUGGGCGUAAAGCGCACGUAGGCGGACUACUAAGUCAGGGGUGAAAUCCCGGGGCUCAACCCCGGAACUGCCUUUGAUACUGAUAGUCUCGAGUCCGGGAGAGGUGAGUGGAAUUCCGAGUGUAGAGGUGAAAUUCGUAGAUAUUCGGAAGAACACCAGUGGCGAAGGCGGCUCACUGGACCGGCAUUGACGCUGAUGUGCGAAAGCGUGGGGAGCAAACAGG
rnacentral:rRNA from 1 species